GACGUGACUUCAGAGUUUGAUCCUGGCUCAGGACGAACGCUGGCGGCGUGCCUAACACAUGCAAGUCGAGCGGGGAGGAGGAAGCUUGCUUCCGAAUCCUAGCGGCGGACGGGUGAGUAACGCGUGAGCAAUCUGCCUCAAACAGGGGGAUAACGCAUCGAAAGAUGUGCUAAUACCGCGUAAGACCACAGUACCGCAUGGUACAGGGGUCAAAGGAGCAAUCCGGUUUGAGAUGAGCUCGCGUCCGAUUAGCUAGUUGGUGAGAUAACGGCCCACCAAGGCGACGAUCGGUAGCCGACCUGAGAGGGUGAUCGGCCACAUUGGAACUGAGAAACGGUCCAG
rnacentral:rRNA from 1 species